UACAGGAGGGGGCAAGCGUUAUUCGGAAUUGAUUGGGCGUAAAGCGCGCGCAGGCGGUUGCCUAAGUCUGCUGUGAAAUCGUCCCGGGCUCAACUGGGAGGGGGCGGGCGGAGACUGGGUGACUGGAGGGACCUAGAGGCCGGUGGAAUUCCCGGUGUAGUGGUAGAAAUGCGUAGAGAGUCGGGAGGAACACCUGUGGCGAAGGCGGCCGGCUGGGGGUACCCUGACGCUGAGGCGCGAGCAGCGUGGGGAGCGAACCGG
rnacentral:rRNA from 1 species